GGUGUAAGGGCUCAGGACAAAGCAGAGGAUGAAGAGAGAGAGGAGGCCAGCACACUAACUGUUGUCUCUUUUUCCUUCUUCCUUACUGGGCUAGUGUCUGACGCUACAUACAGAUAUAGAGAAUCUCAAGGAACGAGUAGAGGCCAUUCAGUCCCUCACUGAGAAGUUCCAGUCGCUGGGAGAAUGAACACACCAUCUUCAAGAGAUACAGCUAGUACCUGUAGUCCAGAGUUGUCACCCACCUUCUUCAGUUGAGUUCUUCUUCAUCCAGUUUGUCCUUUUGACCCCUUGUUUAAG